rnacentral:rRNA from 1 species
UAGUCCACGCCGUAAACGAUGCAUGCUAGAUGUAGGGCCCUUUGGGGUUUUGUGUCGAAGCUAACGCGCUAAGCAUGCCGCCUGGGGAGUACGGUCGCAAGAUUAAAACUCAAAGGAAUUGACGGGGACCCGCACAAGCGGUGGAGUAUGCGGUUUAAUUCGAAGCAACGCGCAGAACCUUACCAGCCUUUGACAUGUCAUAGAACGGGACUAGAGAUAGUCUUUUACACUUCGGGUGCUAUGAACACAGGUGCUGCAUGGCUGUCGUCAGCUCGUGUCGUGAGAUGUUGGGUUAAGUCCCGCAACGAGCGCAACCCUCAUUGUUAAUUGCCAGCAGGUCUGGCUGGGCACUUUAGCAAAACUGCCGGUGACAAACCGGAGGAAGGUGGGGGAUGACGUCAAGUCCUCAUGGCCCUUAUGGGGCUGGGGGCUACACGCGGUACUACAAU